CAAAUGUCACGGCUUUGAUUCUCUCUCUCUCUCUCUCUCUCUCGCUCUCUGGCCCGCAUUGCACUUGAUUACAUUCAAUUUGCACAGAGCGCCGCGGGGCUUUAAUGAGCAUACAAAGGCAUUUGCCGAGGCCCGCGCAUUCGUGCGCGCUUUGGAAAUUUCCCUCUUUGUCCUUGCGACGCGACAUUUCCCAAUUAAAGGCCGGGGCAUGUGUUUGUGUCGGCGUUCUAAUUGGGCGCGGCCGCGCGGGGAAGCGUUUUGCCGACGCGGCCUCAUAAACGGCGGCGCUGUUGGGGUCCCAACAGCUCCGUCGCAUAGUCAAGCGCCAAACGCUGUCACACAACUGUAUCGUGGGAUGUUCUCGAGCUUUGACGCCUCAUAAAGGGACCGCGCAACGGAAAAGGGACUUUUUCAUUGCUCCGAUGUCAAACGUUGGGCCCGCCCGGUGCCCGUCCAUCAAGUUUGAAAAGAAACAAAUAUCUUGCGUGGGGCGACGUGAGCCGGUCCACUGUUCUUUCACAGUACGUCCCCGCGGAAUUUGCCCACUGGACUACGCCGUCUGAAGCGCUGUCGUGUUCAAGCCGCAAGGAGCUUUGGAUGAUGAGGAAUAAUUGGAUGGCGCGGCGGUGUGCGCUUGGAAGAGGCGCAGAAACGUUUGCCACAUCUUUCGACGUACCCGACUAAUGGAGAGACGAGAGAUGCGCAACUGCUGGUUGAGGCCUGGCCUCGCUUCAUGGAGAGACGGACGGACGGAGCUUUUCCUUUCCUGGGAGGCCACCCGCGCUCAUCGUUUAAGCGUCCCCCGCCCCCCCCCCCUUCCCUCCUCCUCUUCCGUGGAAAAAAAAGCACAUGAUGGGACAUUCCAGAAAUAAAAUAAAUUAUUAACCGACAUCGCAGUGCACCGACGCUGAAUUUGAUUAGGAUGC